rnacentral:rRNA from 1 species
UACAGAGGUCUCAAGCGUUGUUCGGAUUCAUUGGGCGUAAAGGGUGCGUAGGUGGCGCCGUAAGUCGGGUGUGAAAUUUCGGAGCUUAACUCCGAAACUGCAUUCGAUACUGCGGUGCUAGAGGAUGGUAGAGGAGAGCGGAACUCCUGGUGGAGCGGUGAAAUGCGUAGAUAUCAAGAGGAACACCGGUGGCGAAGGCGGCUCUCUGGUCCAUGUCUGACGCUGAGGUACGAAAGCGUGGGGAGCGAACAGG